UGCAACUGACUGCCAAAAACCAUUCCUCUCCAUUGUGUCCAUAAAUAGUGGCAGUUCCUUUUUCUGGACCCCCACACCAGCUGUCACACUCGAUUUCUAUGAGAUUUUCUAUACAUACUUCCCCAAUAACUUGAAUUGCCUGAGAAUGAUUUAAAAUCCUUUGUGUUGAAGGUGUCCCAAAGAAAACUCCCCCCACCCCAGUCACUCUCUGGUGUUGUGUGUGUGUGUUGUGUGUAACGAAAAUUAUUAGCUUACUUUCCAUGAGGUGAACUGAGGGAAAAGGAGACAAAGAGAGUGUGACACACUGGGAUACCUCCAGUCUGAGGGUCUCCCGCCCGUCACACGCUUUCAUAAUGAGUAUCCUGCAUAUGACCAUGAGUUAUCAUGACUGUGACCUGCCUCAGGAGGUCCCAUGCCACAUCUGUAUUAACAACUGCAUCUGCUUCAGGGUAACCUUAUUAGCUUGCCACAGCUGAGCCAGGGGCCUCAGGAGGUAUUAGACCAAGUCCCCAGGGAGGCCUGGUACUUCUGCUCUCCCUAAAUUCAAGUUGGUGCCCCCAAUUUAACAUCAGGACCUGCUGAAUUUUAUUGUGAAUUAUCAGCUAUCAUAACUCUUAGCAGAAAACACCACACACACUCACACCACACACACUUACACACACUCCCCUCAAAAUUGGCAACCUCCCCAAAUGCCAUCUCUAAUUCCCAUUAUGGCAUAUGGCUUGUUUGUUUCAUAUGAAAAGCAAUGGAAAUAUCAAAAGAAUUUUCACCUUGGUUUCUGUUUUUCUUCUCCCUGGGGGAGUGUGCAGAGUGCUAUACUAAAAACAUAAAAUGCAAAGAACAUACAUGCAUGAACUUAUCUAUGGAAAUUUUACUUCCAGACCUGACAAUGCGAGCAGUAAAUACACUCCCUGUGAAUGGAGUGGUGUUAUAAGGGAAUCUGGUGGGGUGUGUGUAUGUGUGUGUCUGUGUGGGGUGUGCAUAUAUGCAAGUGGGUCAUGUGCAAAAGAACCUAGCUUUUCUAACUAAAUUCUUUAAAAAGCUCAUCAUCACUUGCUUCAAAUUAAUCAGGUAGUAUGGAACUUAGCAAACUAUAUGCCACCCAUUCACACAUUCAUUCAUUCACCCUUUGGACAGUAGAAGUGACAGAGAAGCAUUAAUUCACCUGGGAACAUAUCUAGGUCAACAUUCUAAGGGAUAUUCCCAUAGUGCACUGGUGACUGCUCAUAAAAGGUAUUUUCCCUACUCUUCUCUGAUGGGUGAAAGCUUACUCACUUUCCUUUUCAUGAGUUCCACAUUUAAUGUUGCCCUGCCAGCAAAGAUGGACAGAAUGACACACCGCUACAAUAACCCAUUCAUGGCUAAUUCAGAUCAUGUCUAAUGAAACUCCACCUUGAACCACAAGAGUGUUCCUGGGAGUGUUCACCUCCCAUCGCUAAGCCACCCAGAGUAUUUCCUUGAGCAUUUCCUGAUGUGGGUGCAGAAAAAUAACUGCUUUCCUUUCGCUAAUUUUAUGCUAUUUUUCAGCUGUCAUUUGUAGCUCACACUGAGAUUAGCAUUUUACAUGGGUUGCCUCACUUCACCCUCCGGUAUAACACAGUUAUGUCAUUACCCUGGUUUUACAGUGAGGAGACCAAACACGGCUGGGGAACAUGUUCAAAGAAAGACACAGAUCAGGCAGGUCCUUGGCCUUCUUACCAAGUGUCAUUCAAUUGACCUUGAUAUGGAAUUUCCACAUUGCAUGUGUUAAUAUGGCCUCCACUUUCACACCUUUCAUUCUUUCCAGCCCCUAUUAAGGCUCGCAGUUUCUUUUUUCUCACAAGUAUUUCCUAUGUGGACCAGACUGCCCUGAAUUUUACCCUGACCCGCUGAAUCCAUGCACACCUAACUUGAAUCCACAGGCAUGACAGCAAUUCAUCCUCGAUUUUCCAACCCUAACAUAUCCACUUAAUUCUAUGGCUUCCCUUUUGUCAUCUCUCCUCUGUAGAAGGCACCCUUAACCCAUUUCCUCCUUUAGACCAUAUCCUCAGCGAGUAAUUGGAGGAAACUUAAAAUAUGAUACCGUGGUGAUGGUUAGUUUUUUCUUUCUCCCCUACCCUCAGGAUAUGCCUGGAUUCCGGGGUUAUCCAAACUUGGAACAACACAGCAAAUAAAAAAUGUACUGUGAAGGAAAUAAAAGGAAAAUUGUGUAAGACACUGUUGAGCUCACUUUGUGGACUCUGCCCCACCCGGCCAAGUGAGCAUGGCUUAAUUGAUAAUGAUCAGCUUCUCAGUUACCUUUCACCAUUUUCUUGUAACCGUAUCCUGAAGCAUCGAAAGCAGCGACACCUCACAUUGCAGUGCAAAGAGGGCCCUUGUGAGCAGGGGUGACCUGGCCAACCGCUCUCCAUGCUCAGGCCUGUGACCCCUCAGCCAGGCUUCCUCUGCGUUUUACAUUCUUGCUCAUGUCCCAGGUCCUUACACAGUGACUCGCUUGCUACCUCCUUCUUUCAUUUUUCUGUUUGGCGUUUUCAUCUCUUCUUGUCUCAUGUCCUUUCCUUUCCCCUUCUCAUGCCGGUGUUUUUCAGUCUCCUGUGUGGUUUUAGGGAGCUUCUCUUUCCGUCCUUCAGUGGAUACAUACAGAGCGGUGUUUCCUUUCCCCUGCAGAUCCCUUCCCUAACAAUCAAAGACUAAAGGGAGAGAAAAACAAUUCCUAUUUUUGUUUUGAAUAAUCGGUCAUUUUUCUCAUCAUGGCCAGUUUGCGAAAUGGAGAAAAGCCUAAAGGAAACCUAAUGACUGACAGCCCCAAAUCUUGAGAGUCAAGUGAUAACACUGUGGUAUAUAUUCUUCACGUUUUUCUUCCUCCGCCUUUUAUUUAUACAAAUAUAUACACACGUGCACAUAUACUUUAAACAUGAAUGUGAUCUUACUAUAUGAGAUAAUAUUUUAAGUGCUUUCUGCUUUUUAAAUAUUUUUAUGGAAUGCACAUAGUCCCAUGUCAUUAGGUAUUCUUCAAAUAUAUCCAAUAUAUAAUUAACAUUUAUGGAAUGUUUAUUGGUCAGUACUGUUCUUUUUUUUUUUUUUUUUUUUUUUUUUUUUGUCUUUUUGUCUUUUGUUGUUGUUGUUGCUAUUUCUUGGGCCGCUCCCGCGGGAUAUGGAGGUUCCCAGGCUAGGAGUUGAAUCGGAGCUGUAGCCACCGGCCUACGCCAGAGCUACAGCAACACGGGAUCCGAGCCGCGUCUGCAACCUACACCACAGCUCACGGCAACGCCGGAUCGUUAACCCACUGAGCAAGGGCAGGGACCGAACCCGCAACCUCAUGGUUCCUAGUCGGAUUCGUUAACCACUGCGCCACGACGGGAACUCCUCAGUACUGUUCUAACGAACUACAUGAAAUCAUUUAACCAAGCUACAACUCAAUGAGAUAGGUACUGCUGUUAUCCCCAUUUUAUAUUUGAGGGAACUGAGAUACUAAAAGACUAAGUAAUUUACCCAAGGUCGCAAAGCUAACAGUUGGCAAGAUUUGGCUGGAGUGGUUUGAGGUGCAGAGAUUGUGUUCUAAACCACUGAGAUGCACUGACUCUGUAUUUACCACAGUGGUUACAAGAUAGGCCUUCCAGUAAUUGCACUCAUCUUUAUUGAAGCAAUGCUCUUGGACUUCAGCAUAGUCUGAGCUGGUUGUUUUGAAUUGUUACAGAUACGUUAUGCUUCUAAACAACCCUGUAAGGAAAGGAACAUACUCCUCCAUACAACUGUAUUUUUUUUUUUUAAUCUCUAAUCAGGAUAAAUUCUGAUGAGUAAAAAUUAUGAGAACACUCUUAAAGCCCUUCAAAUGAAUUUUUAGAUUUCUGGUCAGAAAAGUUGUCCCGAUACUCAUCUCCCUCGGUGUGUGGGAAGACCGAUGUCUUCAUGCCCUGGACCACCUUGAAUAAUUAAUGAACUUAAAAAAAAAAGCCUUUUUUUUUAGGGCCACAUCUGCGGCAUAUGGAAGUUCCCAGGCUAGGGGUCCAAUUGGAGCUGCAGCUGCCAGCCUAUGCCACAGCCACAGCAAUGCCAGAUCUGAGCUGCAUCUGCAACCUACACCACAGCUCAUGGCAACGCCAGAUCCUUAACCCACUGAGCGAAGCCAGGGAUCGAACCCAAAACCUCAUGGUUCCUAGUCAGAUUCAUUUCCACUAUGCCAUGACAGGAACUCUCUGUUUAUCUUUUUAAUGGAGUUUAAUAUACAUACAUUUAAAAUUCUUGACUAUUUUAAGAAUGAAUCAUGUACAUUUAAAAUUGUGUGAUAUGUGAGGAACACUACCUGCCUUUGCAAAUUACAACAAUCAACAGAUGAAGAAAGUAUUCUUACCUGAAAUAUGGAUAUAGACAUGUCAAAAUAUAAGUCAAGACCCAAAUGGAUUAUGCCAGGUCCAGUCUUUCCACUUAACUUUUUAAAUACUUCUUAAAUACCUCCUAUUUAUGUGUAUAUGUAUCUGUGUGAAUUUUGCAUCUCUGCUCUCUUGAAGUGAACAAGCACAAGGAACUGUUUCUUCUUAAGGAGAGAACAUUGACCUAUAGAUGAUUAUACAGUAAAUUCCCAGAACAAAUGCACAUACGAAGAGGAAGUGCAUCCUGGAGAGAUCACAGGACGAGUUGUUGAUGGGAGGUGCACUGUCAGUCUAGCUCUGCCAUUCUAACCAGAAGAGUCUAUCUCACCUUAUUUUUUACAGAGAGUUUUUAUAUGGGACAAUCUC
rnacentral:lncRNA from 1 species